rnacentral:rRNA from 1 species
GAUGAACGCUAGCGGGAGGCCUAACACAUGCAAGCCGAGCGGUAUUUCUUCUUCGGAAGAGAGAGAGCGGCGUACGGGUGCGGAACACGUGUGCAACCUGCCUUUAUCUAGAGGAUAGCCUUUCGAAAGGAAGAUUAAUACUCUAUAAUAUAUUAAUUGGCAUCAAUUGAUAUUGAAAACCCCGGUGGAUAGAGAUGGGCACGCGCAAGAUUAGCUAGUUGGCGAGGUAACGGCUCACCAAGGCAAUGAUCUUUAGGGGGCCUGAGAGGGUGAUCCCCCACACUGGUACUGAGACACGGACCAGACUCCUACGGGAGGCAGCAGUGAGGAAUAUUGGUCAAUGGGUGCAAGCCUGAACCAGCCAUCCCGCGUGAAGGAUUAAGGUCCUAUGGAUUGUAAACUUCUUUUGUAUAGGGAUAAACCUACCCUCGUGAGGGUAGCUGAAGGUACUAUACGAAUAAGCACCGGCUAACUCCGUGCCAGCAGCCGCCGUAAGAC